rnacentral:rRNA from 1 species
AAAUUGAAGAGUUUGAUCAUGGCUCAGAUUGAACGCUGGCGGCAGGCCUAACACAUGCAAGUCGAGCGGUAGCACAGAGAGCUUGCUCUCGGGUGACGAGCGGCGGACGGGUGAGUAAUGUCUGGGAAACUGCCUGAUGGAGGGGGAUAACUACUGGAAACGGUAGCUAAUACCGCAUAACGUCGCAAGACCAAAGUGGGGGACCUUCGGGCCUUAUGCCAUCAGAUGUGCCCAGAUGGGAUUAGCUAGUAGGUGGGGUAACGGCUCACCUAGGCGACGAUCCCUAGCUGGUCUGAGAGGAUGACCAGCCACACUGGAACUGAGACACGGUCCAGACUCCUACGGGAGGCAGCAGUGGGGAAUAUUGCACAAUGGGCGCAAGCCUGAUGCAGCCAUGCCGCGUGUGUGAAGAAGGCCUUCGGGUUGUAAAGCACUUUCAGCGGGGAGGAAGGCGUUAAGGUUAAUAACCUUG